rnacentral:lncRNA from 1 species
GUCGUAAAAGGGGACGCGGAGGAGAAGGAAAGUCGCUCAAGCAGUGGACAGAGCGGAGAAAGCGACUUCGGCCGCAGAGAGAAGAAGCUGCCCAAGAAUGGAAAGGAAGAAAUAUAUCACAUCAUCUGUCUGUCCACAGGCUUUCCUUGGGGCUUAUGAAGUGAAUGAAGGAGGGAAGAAAGGAGAGACAGAGAAAAUAUGGAUUUCCUCAUGGUUGUGAUUCCUCUUCACUCUUUUGAAUUUGGAAGGAUGGCAUACACAUCUGAAAAAUACCACUACUUCCUUCAUUGGACUGCAAGGUAUUUCUGUUUGGAAAAGUAAUGGAGUCCAGUCAACUUCAUUGAUCGCCAAGGACUGUCAAAAUUAUAAAACUUGCUGUGGAGCUCUGACAUGCCAGAAGCCGCUAGAAAAAGAAGUUUGACAUUCAGAAACUUAUCAAGAGGUUCUACUCUUUGGAUAGAGACCAAAAUCAUACUUUGAAAAAGCCUGACAGGUUUCUUCGGAAAAGUGGCCAUCCAUGGAAUGAAUGAAAUGUUCUCUUUCUAUUCCAGGGAUUGCAGUGGCAAAGCUAGGCUAGGUCUUGGAGGCUGGUGUAAGGCGAUGUGGGUGAAGGCAGGAGGCUGAUGGAAAGACUGGGGGGAAGAAAAGCCGAAAUGGAUUCACGGUGCCUUGGAUGAAGGACGAGAGGGGAACUGCAAGCUCCUUCAACUGGUUCUGUCCGGUGAGAAGUGAUCAAGCUUGGGCUGACAAGAGGCUCAGGGAGCCCUCACGUUCUUUCGCUUUUUUACCUGCCAAUCAAACUGCUACAAGACAACACCCUGAUCUGGCAUGGACAUCGCGGGUCCAAGCCUGUAGCCCCAAAUCGGAUAAUCUCUGCAGCUGAUAACAAGCAAAAGAGAAGCCAGGCAACAGCCAUAUUAAAGAAGAAAACAAUCAACUCUGAGAUCCAACUUAGAAAUAAUGUUUCAUUCAAGAUAAGGCUCGUGGCUUAGGAGAUUGUGACCUGGCUUGCAUCAUUCUAAGACUUCUAUCGUCUGUUUUCAAAACCCAAGGAGGACCUCCUUUUCUGUGUGAUAGUUCCUCAUGCUUUGCCAGCCACUGGGUCUUUAAGGAAGCUUGCCAAGAGUUCCCGGCUGGGAAGGACAGUUCGAGUUCAUCAUAGACAAUGAGCUGGCACCACAGUUUAAGUGACUCACCAACCUGGUUGCCCACUUCAAAAUGUCAAGAACCACACUAUCUAAUUGAAAGAACUGUGUUUUAGCAAAGUGUAAUUGGAUCGCCUGGCAAGAUCAUCUCAAACUAUGUCUCUGACCUUGCCUUUCAGUGGCUAUUUUGAGCACAAGAGGAGAAAGGAAAUGAUUCCUGAAUUAUAUCUUGUUUUUAAAAAUUAAGAUUAAUUAAUACUUGGUUUUAUGUUCAUUCCAUUGUAGGAACUUAGUGAUUAUUACAAAACAGUCAAAAUAGGUCAUAGCAAAAUGAACGUUUAAGAUUAGGUUAAAACAUUCCUCUGAAAUUUUAGUAUUCACUUUUGAAGUGUCAAUUACUAUAUUUCUGUAAUUUCUCAUUUUUUUCUUGGCUUAGAGUCAAGAUGAAAAAUGAUAUUUGAAUCAAAGACAUUGUUUUGUUAUAUAGCCACUCCUUUCUAAAAUGCAAAUCCACCCUCCCCUCACCAAUGCUUUAUUCUUUGUGCGCGCACACACACACACACACACACACACACACACACACACACACAGACAUACACAGAACCAGCACCCAAAUGGUAGAGGAGGUCCUUCCAAGACUUCUAGGACCUGGAUCAUGUAAGCAGUAGAUGAGAAAAUGAAGUAAGAGAUAUAGAGUAAUAACAAUAAAAGUCAAUGAUUUCAUUUUACAAAAAAGUCAUUGUGUAGUACUCAGAUAUUUUUAAGAGCAAGUAUUAUUAUGACUAAAGUAUAUUAUACUUCUAAAUUAUUAUGAUUCUCAUCUAAUUUCAAGCCACACAUAGGCGCCAUUUGAAAGCAUUUUGUGUUACAACCUAUCAACAAAAAUCAACUAAUAGUUUUAUAACGUGCAUAGGUUUACCCCAUGGGGAAUUAAAAUUUUUAUCUGCAAGUAUUUCUGUUGUUGUGAGACUUUAGGACAAGACAACAUUUGGUGUUAACAUAGAAGAAUAUUCUAUGGCUUUUUUAGCUUUAAAGUUCAUUACUCUAAAAUAAAGUACACGUGGUAUUUUUUUCUUCCUAGUGUUCUCUUAUUAUAUGUAGAGUAUUUUCGGUUGUUGUUUUUAACGUAUACAUUAUUUUUAUUAAGUCAUUUCAUAAAAGAUAAGAUAUAUACUAAUAGACCCUUGGUUUUCUCCUAAUUUAAUUAUUUCAAGUCAAGCAAAAUUGGGCAAUUUUCUUUCAGGAAAAAAAAAAUAUUGAGCAUGAUUUUGAGGUAAAACUGAUUAUUUACAGCAUCUUUUCUCUAAUAGGCUAACAUUUAUGAUGGAUCUUAUUUCAAAGUUGAUUAUUCUCAAAGAAAAGUGGAGAUAUUAGAAUUUCCGAGUAAAUUGCAUUGUUUUAAAAAGUACUUUAAUGCAUUGUUCACAUUGUUGCCAGCUAUUGACCAAAAAAGAGAAGAAGAAAAAAGAAAUAAAAAAAGCAGUAUCUGCUCCAAACGUCAAGUUUUGCAGUUUGAAAGACUUGUACAUUAUAAUUGUUUUUUUCUUUUUUGGAAAGCAGUAGUAAUUAAUACCAAAGGCAUAGACAAUUUAGGGCCAUAACCUCCCUUCCCCCCUCUCCACCUUUUUUUUUUUUUUUUUUUUUUUUUAACUUUAACCAUGAUAGGCAUCUCUGCAAGGUAGGUUUUAACAUAUUUUUUUCCUAAUUUUUUUCCCUCCAUUCAGUAAGAAGGAUAAGCUUUUAGAGUACCCAGUCACCGUGGUAACUGCCAAAAAAAUUCUCCUGAAGUUUGAAGAGGUCAGCUAGCAGGGUCAACAACCCUGGCCUCUCUCUGAGCUCGGUCUAGCAUGCCCCAGCCUGCGGUUGGAGUGUCAGGCCAGAUCUGACCCUGGGAGGUGGACCAUUCUGGCUCUGAUAUAAAUUUUUCGAGUCAGUUCAUGGCCUGGACUCUCCAGGUGGCCUCCAAAAUCGAUUUUGACCCCCUGACCCUGUCUCACGGAGGCAUAGCAUCCACCCUAAGUAAGGAUUUAGCCAGGAAUGACAGCUUUCCACUGAGUGUUAUUGGGGACAGUAUAAACAGUUUGGAAAGCAAGUAAGGAGGUGUGAGGGCUAGCAAUCAUUAAAAGCACAUUAAAAAACAAUUUUUAAAAAUCUUUAUUAGAGAAAGUUGUAAAUGCAUAUCUGUUACAGAAUUCCUGUGAUUUGUAGAGUUUUCUAGUCAGUUUUGAAUAUAAAUAGGUCACAUAUCUUUAUCUUUUUGCAUACUUUGUUACAAAUAUGCAAAUAAGAUAGGCAUACUUGCUACAAAAUAGGUACAGCAGGAAUGUAAUAUGUUCAGAAAAGGCAAACUGGUUAUUAAAACACAUUAACAGGUAAGGAGUUUCUAAUAUUUUAAAUACUAAAAUUUUACAUGUGUAUUUUGAAGUUUUUAAAAUGGAAAAAUAAAGAACCUUUAAAAAACCCAACAGUGUGGAAUAAAGAUAAACUUGUUGCACUCAAGGUACAUUUCUACUUUGUAAAGCAAGAAGCCAAUACACUCAGUUGGAUAAAAAUGAGAGAAAAAUUGUAAAUAUAGAGAGUUACAGCUUAUAGAGCUGAAGAGGAAUAAAACAAAAAAAAGUGUCUCUGAAUAACUUUAUGUAUUUUCAACAGUUUAAGAUAUCAGAAACUUGGAAAAUAAAUAUGAUAUAUAUAUAAAUCAUCA